UGGCUUUUUAAGUGUCCCUUCUCAGAGAAUCUUUGGCCACAAACUGAGCAGGCAAAAGGUUUCUCACCAGUAUGCGUUCUUGAGUGUAAUUUUAAGUGAUGCUUCACAGAAAAUCUUUGGCCACAAACUAAGCAGUCAAAAGGUUUCUCACCAGUGUGGGUUCUUAAGUGUAAUUUUAAGUGAUGUUUCAGAGAGAAUCUUUGGCCACAAACUGAACAGGCAAAUGGUUUCUCACCAGUGUGGGUUCUUGUGUGUAUUUUUAGAGUUUCCUUACGAGUGAAUUUCUGGCCACAGUCUGAACAGGCGAACGGUUUCUGACCAGUGUGAGUUCUCAUGUGCAAUUUCAAAGCACUUUUGUAAGAAAACGUUUUCUCACACCGAGAACAUUUCCAGGGUUUGUUGUCAGUGUGAC